GAUGAACGCUGGCGGCGUGCCUAACACAUGCAAGUCGAGCGAGAUUGAUGUGAUUGACCUUUCGGGGGAGAAAUCAUCAUGAAAGCGGCGGACGGGUGAGUAACGCGUGAGUAACCUGCCCCAUACACAGGGAUAGCCAUUGGAAACGAUGAUUAAUACCUGAUAACACAUAAGAAUCGCCUGGUUUUUAUGUCAAAGAUUUAUCGGUAUGGGAUGGACUCGCGUCUGAUUAGCUAGUUGGUAAGGUAACGGCUUACCAAGGCGACGAUCAGUAGCCGACCUGAGAGGGUGAUCGGCCACACUGGAACUGAGACACGGUCCAGACUCCUACGGGAGGCAGCAGUGGGGAAUAUUGCACAAUGGGCGC
rnacentral:rRNA from 1 species